rnacentral:rRNA from 1 species
UACGAAGGGGGCUAGCGUUGUUCGGAAUUACUGGGCGUAAAGCGCACGUAGGCGGAUUGUUAAGUCGGGGGUGAAAUCCCGGGGCUCAACCCCGGAACUGCCUUCGAUACUGGCAAUCUCGAGUCCGGAAGAGGUGAGUGGAAUUCCGAGUGUAGAGGUGAAAUGCGUAGAUAUCCGGAGGAACACCAGUGGCGAAGGCGGCCACCUGGGCUGUACCUGACGCUCAAACACGAAAGCUAGGGGAGCGAACGGG